rnacentral:sRNA from 1 species
ACCACCGUCAAAUUAACCCAACCACCAACCACCACCACCGCCUUCCCCGCACCGUUCACUGGCGCCAUCUUCCCCACCACUGCCGUCCCCCGGCCUCCAGCUGAAAGUGUACAACUGAUCUCCGCGCAAGCAAACCCAUCCGGACAACAACCGCCGCCCGCACUAGCCGCACAACCCGUCCAACCGGCAGCACACCUCCGGCCUUCCCCACCAGGAGAGGACAGAGACACAGUAGGAUCGAUUCCUAUAACAAUCGUGGCGCCGUUGUCAUCCACGAUUGUGGUCGAGGAAAUUGGGGGGCAGGAGGUGGGGUUACAAUCGCGGCCGGUACGACAGCAGCCGCCGUGGUAGACAGCGCUGCAGGCGUAGAAGCCCGUCGGGCAACCGGUUAUGGUCGGGCGUGUGGAUUGGAAUGUGGUGAUGGUGGUUUUGGCGUUGGAGGUUGGGCGGACGGGAGGGUUUAUAGGUUCUGUAAAUGUUGAUGGCGGCGGUGGCGCGGGGGUUGCGGUGACGAUUGUUGUUGAGACGUAUAUACCUAUGUCACCUCGGUCAGCUUCGAGAGAAUCGAUAAAAAGUGAUGGCAAGGGGUGCUGGAAGGAGAAUGGAAGCGGAAAUGCCAUACACCCUUGAUCCACACACGAGUAUCCUGGUAUACAACAUCCCCCACCUGGAUUAUCAGGGCAGGGAGUGUACCCGCUCGCACACUUAAUCAAAUUGUCCGAGCAGCUCUCCCCAGCCCCGCAGCAUCCCACAUCUCCUAACCCUGUGUCUUUCACAAAUAUGCACUUGCUCCCCUUCCCGCAGCAGCUAUUCGGCCGGUCGAUAGACGUGCAAGGUUCCGUGUCAAAAGGGCAUUUGAAACUUCGCUUCCCAAACAUGUCGCCCCGGUCCCUCGCCGUCCGCUGCGACAGCGAGCGGCUAAGGAGAAGCAAUGACAUUCCUCUUCCCUCAUUCCCUGCCUCCCUACCUUUAUCUGCUCCAUCAUCAUCCGUUAUAUUCCCAUGAAGUGGAAAUGGUGGAUAUAAUGAUGCUGCUGUUGAGCUAUUCAUCCCCGCAUUGCCCAAAGUCUUCUUCACCUUAUUAUGGUAGCUCUUUGGGGCAUCUCCCCAACCACCAUCUAUCAGCCCUCUGAUGUCCGUCCCUUCAUCCCUCAGGCCCACGCGAGUAGACUGCUGUUGUUUCCGUCCUCCAUUUUUGACAUCACCGCUACCACCAAUAUUGGCAUCAAAAUACCAAUAAUCCAACCAAAAUUUCUCCCCCUCGUCGUCAGUCAUUCUCCUCACGCCCACCGGCGACUGGCCCACCAGUUGUCUCUGGAUUUCCACAUCGCGCUGCACUAGGCUUUCCCGUGCGAUGUCGACAUCGGAUAUGCUACUAUUCUUGGCGAUAUCCGUUGCGGCAUUUGUGGGUGGUGUUAGCAGUAGUUGUAAGGCGGGGGAGAGGAGCAGGGUGAAGAAAUGGUAGGAGGGACAGGGCGCAGGGAAGAGUCGCAUCAGGCGCUUGUGAGUGGAUAGACGGUUAGCUCAGCCCUGCGGGUUGCAGAGGAGCAGGAGAGGUACUGAGUGGGCUAGGAAUAAUUAAUUAUUCACUUUAUAUGAUGCGGGAUAGAGGAACGAGAGAAUCAAACAAAAUGAGAUGCCUUGGAAGAAGAUAUGUACGGUGUAGUUUUACAUGUGCUAAGCAAUACAAUAGAUACAUUUAUGAACUUGAAUCCGGGUGUGGUCUCGUGGACACUUUUCCCCGCAUAUGGUCAGAAUGGGCGUUGAUGUUGGUGAGACAUGGUUCGGUGAGGAUGUUGUCUUUGUGCACAUUUCCGUACAGUCAUACAGUUAGGAGCAGAGGAUAUCGUUGGUUGGAAAGUUGGC